GACGAACGCUGGCGGUGUGCUUAACACAUGCAAGUCGAACGGUAAGGCCCUUUCGGGGGUACACGAGUGGCGAACGGGUGAGUAACACGUGAGUAACCUGCCCUCAUCUCUGGGAUAACAGUCGGAAACGGUUGCUAAUACUGGAUAUGAGCUUGCAAGGCAUCUUGUGGGUUGGAAAGAUUUUUUUGGUUGGGGAUGGACUCGCGGCCUAUCAGCUUGUUGGUGAGGUAGUGGCUCACCAAGGCUUCGACGGGUAGCCGGCCUGAGAGGGCGACCGGCCACAUUGGGACUGAGAUACGGCCCAAACUCCUACGGGAGGCAGCAGUGGGGAAUAUUGCACAAUGGACGGAAGUCGGAUGCAGCAACGCCGCGUGCGGGAUGACGGCCUUCGGGUUGUAAACCGCUUUCAAUUGUGACGAAGCUUUUUGUGACGGUAGCAGUAGAAGAAGCACCGGCUAACUACGUG
rnacentral:rRNA from 1 species